ACUCGUGGCAUAUAGCUCAGUAACACGUGGCCAAACUACCCUACAGACCGCGAUAACCUCGGGAAACUGAGGCCAAUAGCGGAUACAGCUCUCAUGCUGGAGUGCAGAGAGCUGGAAACGUUCCGGCGCUGUAGGAUGUGGCUGCGGCCGAUUAGGUAGAUGGUGGGGUAACGGCCCACCAUGCCGAUAAUCGGUACAGGUUGUGAGAGCAAGAGCCUGGAGACGGUAUCUGAGACAAGAUACCGGGCCCUACGGGGCGCAGCAGGCGCGAAACCUUUACACUGCACGACAGUGCGAUAGGGGGACUCCGAGUGUGAGGGCAUAUAGCCCUCGCUUUUCUGUACCGUAAGGUGGUACAGGAACAAGGACUGGGCAAGACCGGUGCCAGCCGCCGCGGUAAUACCGGCAGUCCGAGUGAUGGCCGAUAUUAUUGGGCCUAAAGCGUCCGUAGCUUGCUGUGUAAGUCCAUUGGGAAAUCGACCAGCUCAACUGGUCGGCGUCCGGUGGAAACUACACAGCUUGGGGCCGAAAGACUCAACGGGUACGUCCGGGGUAGGAGUGAAAUCCUGUAAUCCUGGACGGACCACCAAUGGGGAAACCACGUUGAGAGACCGGACCCGACAGUGAGGGACGAAAGCCAGGGUCUCGAACCGGAUUAGAUACCCGGGUAGUCCUGGCUGUAAACAAUGCUCGCUAGGUAUGUCACGCGCCAUGAGCACGUGAUGUGCCGUAGUGAAGACGAUAAGCGAGCCGCCUGGGAAGUACGUCCGCAAGGAUGAAACUUAAAGGAAUUGGCGGGGGAGCACCACAACCGGAGGAGCCUGCGGUUUAAUUGGACUCAACGCCGGACAUCUCACCGGUCCCGACAGUAGUAAUGACAGUCAGGUUGACGACUUUACUCGAUGCUACUGAGAGGAGGUGCAUGGCCGCCGUCAGCUCGUACCGUGAGGCGUCCUGUUAAGUCAGGCAACGAGCGAGACCCACACUUCUAGUUGCCAGCA
rnacentral:rRNA from 1 species